rnacentral:piRNA from 1 species
UGGGGUUGCUGAUCGAUUCUUCUUUU